AAAAUUAAAAAGACGAACACAGUUGCAAAGCCUCUGUUAACGAAGCUGCCGCAUUCGAUGACAUAACAUUUUUACAUGAAAGACAAGGUAAACCACGUAACAUGACCGAAGAUAUGAGAGCGCGCGGCUCGGAUCAGCAAAUAAAGCGCGCCUUUCCGGACACGGCGGACUCCCGAAACUGCAGGGCACGGAGGCGGGAGGAGCUGCGUACGGAGCGGCCGCGGCGCCACGGAAAGCCCCUUAAAACAUCAUGUCAGCAUUUAAUUUAAGAUCUCCAGCGUCUCCGCCACCCGGAGCCCCGGUCAAAAAGCGGGAUGGGUGUAAAAACAUAAAGAAAAAGGAAACAGCAGAGGCAGGUUACCGGCAGCCGCUCCAAGACGACGGCAAGUGUGGGGCAGACGCCACGUCGUGGACGAAAGGCGCCCCACGUUAACAACCGUGACGGACAGUGCGAGUCUGACAGGGAACGACUUUCACGGGUCAAGGUUUGUCGCCGUGGCAACACUUAACAAUGACAGCGGAUAAGAGGAGUGCGCUUGAUGGCUCACCGCUGUCAGACGAAUGUCCCCAUCCCAUCAGGCACUGGUGAAAACAAAACGGGCAUCGGCAAUUUUCGCUGUCAGUGAGGAAAUGGGAGUCCGUCUCUCUCGAUGACACUUGGGGGAGGUGGAUUAGAGGGGGGGGGUAACUGAUGGUCACACGCAUGAAAAGAACAUCAAGGGUGGUGGUGAGCUACAAACUAACCUUAACUAGCUUCUUGCAGUCCCAGAAGAAGAGCUGCUUCCUGAUGCAAAUGACUCAAUCGGACAGCUUAUGGGCAAAACUGCUCUCUGCUGAGGGAGACCCCACACUUCCGGAGCGUAAAAAAAGACCCGCGUGAGUAACUCUUCAAGAAGAACUACAGCAGUUUUUCAGGGGCUUGCAUAGAGCGGGGUUGUGUCAGUUUGACCACAAGGACGUGGGGGGCAGGGGUGACAACCAUGAGGGACACAUCUGAAGAUUCGGGUCAGGACAAGCCUGAAACAGAGGGAUUUUCUGUUGUACCCUUGAAGAUCUUAACCAAAUGCAGCUGAACGAAGAACAUGAAACGGUACUCUGAUUAACAUACACUUUAACUUUUGUCAUUUAUAUCGACAGUUAAGAACACAUCCCAUGUUCCAAAACCAAGUCAGAUUACACAUUACACACGUUUCUGUUCACUGCCGCAGUACGCCGCUCCCCAUAUUCCUGGAUGUGCCAGCCCCAGAUUGAACAGAUCACUCAAGGAAUCCACAAAGUCAUGGCACAGGAAAUGCCGCGGCCCUUUGGACAUGUGUCGUACCGCACGCGCAUGCGUGUGAGCCUGUAUGUGUGUGUCUAUAAACAGGAGCAGGGAUAGAAACAUCCUCACCACUCUGCAUUCCUCUGCCAUUAUUAGCCUUCGCUCUGUUCACACUAUAUAUAUAUUUACUUUUUUAUCUGUUAUGAAAUAUUGCUAUUCAAGGUUACAGCCGGCACU